AAAGAAUUCAACAUUUCAACUUCUGGAGGACUCCGACCGCCGUGCCUCUUCAUCGUCGGUGCCCUAGGUUCUCCACGCCCAUUGCCCAUUACUAAUCCGGCACUGCUAGCUCAGGUAUACGCCACGAAACCCACUCCUACGCCAAGGUAUCCACCACUCGCGCGCGGCGCGCGCACGCUCGCCGGCGACGGCAGCGCGGGGUGCUCCUUGUGUUGGGCGCGCUCGGCGAAGGUGUGGCGGUGUGGCGCAUGGAGGUUCAGCGGGAGACCGGGCGUUCCUGGCACACGCGGCCGUGUUUGGCGGAGCUCGCGCGCGCUCAUGGCGUUGUCAUGGGGGUGGUUUUCUCGUGUUCAGGUUCAGGCACGAAGGGGGCGCCGCGUAACUCGCCGUGAAGGUGUUAGAUCAGAUGCCCCUCUCAGGGCGAAGGUGGCUACUCUGGCAACUUAUCAAUUCAACUGUCGCAACAAACAACUGUUUUGUGAAGUUGACACUUCGGCAGAUUUGAUUAAUAACAAGACAAAUGCAGCUGUUAGAAGGCCACGGUUCAUCAGAGUUCUGCUCCCUGGAUCCUUCGCAAAGAUGCCCGGCGAGAAAAAGGAUGGAAAGGGCCUGAAUGACAGGCUAUGGAAGCCUCAUGCAAUACCAUCUCACAAUGCAAACCAGGACUUGAUGCAUGCGCUUCCACGGGCUUCCCACAAGCUGCACAAUCACACUAAAAACGAAGAGCCAUUUCACAACAUGGAAGAAGGCGAUUUUGGUCACAGCCCAUAAACUCCCGUUGCUGACAAACAAACUUCAGGCUUCAUGUAUUCACAGCAGUACAAAGCAACACGCCUACAAUUUCUAUCCAAAAUGGCACAAUUUCAGCUCAUCAGAUUAAG
rnacentral:lncRNA from 1 species